rnacentral:rRNA from 1 species
GAUGUGAAAUCCCCGGGCUCAACCUGGGAACUGCAUUCGAAACUGGCAGGCUAGAGUCUUGUAGAGGGGGGUAGAAUUCCAGGUGUAGCGGUGAAAUGCGUAGAGAUCUGGAGGAAUACCGGUGGCGAAGGCGGCCCCCUGGACAAAGACUGACGCUCAGGUGCGAAAGCGUGGGGAGCAAACAGGAUUAGAUACCCUGGUAGUCCACGCCGUAAACGAUGUCGACUUGGAGGUUGUGCCCUUGAGGCGUGGCUUCCGGAGCUAACGCGUUAAGUCGACCGCCUGGGGAGUACGGCCGCAAGGUUAAAACUCAAAUGAAUUGACGGGGGCCCGCACAAGCGGUGGAGCAUGUGGUUUAAUUCGAUGCAACGCGAAAAACCUUACCUACUCUUGACAUCCAGAGAACUUUCCAGAGAUGCUUUGGUGCCUUCGGGAACUCUGAGACAGGUGCUGCAUGGCUGUCGUCAGCUCGUGUUGUGAAAUGUUGGGUUAAGUCCCGCAACGAGCGCAACCCUUAUCC